GUCCUUAAUGCUUGUGACUGUGUUGCAUUCCUGUUGGUUCUGUCCAUGGCGACUGUCUAUCUUGUCACCUGGCUCCUCAUGGGACUCCACAAAUCCCCCCUUAAAGUCACCCCAAACCCAUUUGACAUGGACUCUAGACUAAACUAUGUGUUCUACACAUGGGAUACAUUGCCCAGGUUAGAAUACUCCAAUAUUCAUGAAAUCAUCUGCUUGGACCAUGCAAUAUAACAUACCCAUUUUUUGCCUCGCGUGACAGGGAUUGUUCAUGGAGGUUGAAUGACUCAUUGCGUAGGGACCCCAAGGAAGCACCGAUGGGCUCUUCUGAAAAACAUUUUUACUAAUGAAAUCCAGGAGGUCUCCAAAAUGUCUAUAUGGGACUUCCAUAAGGCAGUGAAUAGUGCAA